CACGUUGGUGGCUUUCAUCCAAUACCCUUGUGAACCUUUGGCCUCUUGCUGGCUUUGGCCGGCAGAGGAUUUUUACACACACUCGAAUGUAAUGAAAACUAUUGUCGUGCGCAAGCACUAAUGUACAACUUUCAACAACGGAUCUCUUGGCUCUCGCAUCGAUGAAGAACGCAGCGAAAUGCGAUAAGUAAUGUGAAUUGCAGAAUUCAGUGAAUCAUCGAAUCUUUGAACGCACCUUGCACCCUUUGGUAUUCCGAAGGGUAUGCUCGUUUGAGUGUCAUUGUACUCUCACUCUCUCUGAUCCUUUGGAUUCAGGGAGUGGUGGACUUGGGUGUUUGCUGCUUUCCUUGUGGCUCACCUCAAAUGCGUCAGUGCACCUCUUGGUUGGACAUAGUACGGCGUGAUAAGUAUCUUCGCCGGCACCUCGCGAGAGGGUGGCCGAUCGGGAGCUCUGUGCUUUCAAACUGUCUUCGGACAAUCUCUGACAACUUGACCUCAAAUCGAGUAGGACUACCCGCUGAACUUAAGCAUAUCA
rnacentral:rRNA from 1 species